CUUGUUCUCCAGGUGGGCGCCUGAUUCUACAACAAAAUAGACAAAAUGAAAGAAAUUUUUUUUGCCCCAGUUUGCACUAGGAAGAUUUGUGAGUUGUUAGCAAAACUAUAAAUCACUCAUACUAUUGAUGCAAUGAUGAGAGUAAACUAAAGACUACACUAGGAUGUGCGUCUCCUAAAAGUGAUUGAGCUUGCGGAAAACUGUAAACUAAGCUUGACUAAAGUAAAGACUGACCUUAUUCUUCAGGCGGAGCCUCCUGAUUUCGGAAAAAAUAAACACUAAUUACUUAAGAAAACUAAAAAUUGACCCUUUUUUUUUUCAAAUCCAGACUUUCUUUUUUUCAAAUUAUCCAAGGAGAAAAUUCGUCAGACUAGAUUUUCUAUCUUAGGAGAAAGAUUCAUCAGACUAAGAUUUUGAUCCUAGGAGAAAAUUCAUUAAACUGAGUCCUUUUUUUCUCUCUUUUUUUUCUUUUGGUAUCGGUAUCUUAGGAGAAAGAUUCAUCUGACUAAGACGUUUAUCCUAGGAGAAAGUUCAUCAUACUAGGUCUUCUAUCUUAGGAGAAAAAUUCAUCAGACUAAGGUUUUGAUCCUAGGAGAAAAUUCGUCAGACUAGAUCUUUUUUUUUGUAUCUUAGGAGAAAGAUUCAUCAGACUAAGAUUUCUAUCCUAGGAGAAAAUUCAUCAGACUAGGUUUUCUAUCUUAGGAGAAAAAUUCAUCAGACUAAGACAUCUAUCCCAGGAGAAAGUUCAUCAGACUAGGUCUUUUUUUGUAUCUUAGGAGAAAGAUUCAUCAGACUAAGAUUUCUAUCAUAGGAGANNNNCAAUCAGCUUGAGUCGGCCUCAAAAGACUUUUGUUCUGCACCAACUCUGAUUGUUUCACAUUAGUACCAUUUGUAUUUGCAGCUAAAACAACAUAAUCCCAACUGAAGAUCUUUUCUUAGAUGACCUUUUCUGAUAUCUUGAAUGACUUCCUGCUUUGAGCAAUUUGUCUGUCAGAGAGAAUCACAAGUUAUCUUUAUUUGCGCCAAGCAUGCUGACAAGAGUCUUUUGGGGGAGCCUUUGUAUGAAUCCUCAAGGCAUGUUGACAUUAACAACUGAGUUUGCUAGCCAAAUUUACUUUGUACAAUUGAAAAGCUGGUAGCAGAUUUUGAAAUCUUUUCUUGCUUGUUUUGACAAGGACCGACUCAGAGUGAAGGAUAAAAUGAUGCAAAGAAACAAUUAUUAGCAAAAAAUGCCCCUGUCGGAAGGACAGAAGGAAGAGUUUUUCUUUUUUCUUUCUUUUUUUUUUCAUUUUUUUUCCUUUUUCACUAACUAGCCUUAAUGGUCAUGACAUGCAUUUUGGACUUAGUGGCCGAUCUAUCAAACUAAUUCCCUCCUCCCUUUUCUAUUCUUAGGACCUUUGAAGUCGAGCUUGUUUAUGCCAAUUCUUCACACCAGCUUUAUGACUCACUUUCGACUAGUGGUGCCCCGAGGAGUUUUCACCAACAAGUCUCUCUCAUUUAUUCAUCUCAGCUUACCGUCGCCUUAUAGUGCCUGUGAGGGUUUUCACCAGUAAGACUCUAUCAUUUCUUCUCUAUUUUUCUUUUUCUUUUGCUUUCUUGUGCGAGCAUUCUGACAGUGUUCUAUGUCGCGUGACCACCGUUGCUCAUUACAUGCUUCUCUUGGCAUUCUUGAAAGCAUAUCGGGAGGUCUUUGUUUGGAAGGUUUUUGGAUAGGGUUGGACAAAAAGGUCGGCAUGAAGGCUCAAAAUAAACUCAGAAUUAGGGGUUGUAGACUUACAACUCUAGGAAUCAAUUCUUUCAAAACAAUCUCUGCCCCAGUUUCAGAUGCUGGGGAUUUUUGGAUUUUUCUAUUUUUUUUUGCUGGACCGAACCGUGAGGCUGCCUACGUAUCCUUAUUUUCAAAGAAUCAGGUCUAACGUAGUUCAAACAUCUGACCUAAACUAUUAUUCAUCUUUCUUUCUGUUUCUUUUUUUUUCUUUUUAUUUUCAAAACAAGUUGCCCCGGCUUCUAUUUUUGAGGCAUGGACCUUCGACAGUUCUUUUUUUUUUCUUCUUUUUUUCACUUGAACUUUCAAAGAGCUUCCCCAGUUUGUACUCUUGGGGCAUGGACUUUUUUUUCUUUUUUUUCUCUUUUUUUUUGACUCUAAACUUGAUUUCAAAAGAGGGUAGUCAAAGAAAAUAACACAGGCUCAAAAGGGGUGACAAAGGGUAUAAAGUGUUUGGGUAGCAGAAAAAGGGCCUCCCAGCCUGAGAACGCUAAACAUAGUAUCCUUUCGCAAUCACGACAUUGAUGAACAUGUCUGUCUUCUUGGUGUGCCGUGGUCAUAAGACAUUUCUUCAUACCUUAGUGACAAACUUUCCAACAAACUUCAAUUGAUUAAACAUCCUCAAGAUCGAUCUUCACAAUAAUUUGAAGGUGAAUUUUACUCGACCUUAGUUCCAAAGUAUUCCAACUCUUUAUUCAUCCUCAAAAGUAUUUUUUUUAGUUAUCAAAUUCCAGAUUAAAUCAGUUCCUAAGAUCUGGCCAAAAUUUCCGCAUGCAUGUCAUGUCAUUAAGACUAGCAGGAAAAGAACUAAGCAUGAAAUGACACAAAAGGACAAACUGUAUUUCAUUGAGUAACAACAAGACAAACAACCUAAAUCCAAGUUACAACCCUAUGUAACCCGGCUAAUGAAAAUAGCAAUAGAACAGAAAGACAAGACUCACACAAACAGAAUAGAGGGAUAGAAGGGUUUGACUCAAUAAAACAAAUAAAUCUGGAUCACAACCCUGAAAUAACCCAGAUAAUAGAAAAAACAUCAAAACAAACUACCAAGAUUCCUUCCUAGUGAGGAGGGAAUGACUUUUCAAUUGCUAAGCUUGACAUUUAGCCACAAAUUUGCUCAUCAGGAUCAGCAGAGCCUUCUCCAAUUUCAAAAUCAUUAACUUCAGUUAGCAAAUUCCCGAGAGGAUUCUCAUACUCCCCAUCACCACGCAUCAUCCCCACAAAGUGUGCAUCAUCAUGUGCAGGUAAAGGAUUCUGCACGAUAUUCUGGGUGCCAUUGUCUUGGAUCACGAUUAGUUUUUCCUGGAUCAUCCUUUCUAUUUCUCUUUUCAAAUCUCGACAACUUUAAACAUUGUGCCCUAGGCAUUGGAAUGGUAUUCACACCUUUUAGAAGGGUCAAAACUUCUUGCACGUGGGUCCACAUGAUUUGGAGGAAUAGGUGCAAUCAUGUCAUAAUGCUUUAAUUUCUUCAACAAGCUUGCAUAAGACUCUCCUAUUGGUGUAAAAUUAUCUUUCAACUUUUGUUCCCCUCUAUACCUCUGGCCUGGAUGUGGGUUAUAGGGUACCUGGAAAUUUUGUGGAGGCUGGUAGUGAUUUUGUGAUGCUCGUGCUCACCUUUUGGGGUGUUUUGGUGGCUGGUCAACAUACUGAGGUGGAACAACAGAGUUUUGUGGGUUUUGAGGGGGAUAGUAAUGCUCAGGGGAGUUAUUGGAAAACAGACGAGGUUGGUCAUACCUUCGAGACACUCUCCUAGGACCUCUUCUCGACCCUGAUGUCAUCAUGAUUUCUUUAACCUUCUCAUUCGUGUCACUAAAAUUAUCAGAUUUGAUCUGGACAGCCUGAAUUGCGGUUUUGAGAACUGCUUGACUUAUAAUUUUUCCUGUCUUAAAACCAUUCUCAACCAUUUCCCCCAUUUUGAUUGCUUCCGAGAAAGAUUUACCCACUACGAACAUCAUAUUUUGAAAAUAAUCUGGCUCUUGAGCUUGAAGAAAGACAGUGAUUAGCUCGUGGUCGUCCAUGAGUGGCUUAACUCUGGCUUCUUGUUCUCUCCAUUUGGUGGCAUAUUCCCUGAAACUUUUAGUUGGUUUCUUCUUGAGAUUUGAAAGGGAAAUGCGGUUUGGGGCGAUGUCGAUGUUGUAUUGGAACUGAUUAACAAAGGCCUGUGCCAUGUCAUUCCAGACGUACCAGCGAGAUGUGUCUUGAUCCAAAAACCAUUCGGAUGCUACUCCCGUAAGGCUUUCCCCAAAAUAGGCCAUCAGCAAUUUUUCGUUUCUUCCUGCACCUCUCAGUUGAUUGCAAUAACUUUUCAGGUGGGCUAUGUGGUCUCCAUGUCCAUCAUACUUUUCAAAUUUGGGAGUCUUGAAACCAGGCGGCAAGUGGACAUCGGAGAACAUACAUAGAUCUUUGAAGGCAACACUCUUUUGACCUGCCAACCCUUGCAUGUUUUUCAACCGUUGUUCUAAGCUUUUCACUCUUUGGGCCACUUCUUCCUGUACCAUCUUUCGGGCAGGCAUCUCAACGUUUGCAGGAAGAUCAAACGAGUACGAGUGGUACUCAGGAGAGUGGUACUGCUCUUGUUGUGUAGCAAAUUGUGACUCAUGACGAGGUUGUCCUUGACCACUGGCCCAUGCUUGACACAUUUCGGUUAUUUGCUGUUUCAGCAUUCUAUUUUUCUCAAACACAGUAGACUCUUGUUGAACCCUCUGACCCUGAGUCUCUUGAGCACUUGUUCAGCUUCGAUGUCAGUUAUCUUACCACAAACCGACCACCUCAACUUUCUUCACAAUUCAAAACAAAACAUGUUAGAAUGGACUCAGUCGGUCCUUAUUAUUAUCAAUAUUUUUUCAUUUUUGUUUUCAUUUUUUUCUUUUUUUUUCAUUUUUCUUUCAAUGGUUGAUCGAACCUGAUGUGGGUUGCCUACGUAUCAUGUGGGAAUAUGAAUCAGAUCUUGUGUAGUUCGGGAAGAUCAUGAAUAAAGUAAAUAAACUAACUCUUUUUUUCGAAUUUUUAUUUUAUUUUUUCGAAAGAAAAACUUAUAAAGAAGAAAGGGAAUAUUUUUGGAUUUUAAUUUUUUGCAAAGAAAGACUUCUAAAGAAGAAAGAUUUUUUUUUUGAAUUUUUUAUUCCGGAAUUUCGAAAGAAAAACUUCUAAAGAAGAAAGAAAAUAUUUUUGGAAUUUUAUUUUGAAUUUAUGAAAGAAAUGCUUCUAAAAAAAGAAAAUAUUUUUAAAUUUUGAAUUUCUUUUCAAUUUAUUUGUAUAUUUGUUUUUUUAAAAAAUAAUUAGAGUCUAAAAGAAAGGCUUUCUAAAGAAGCAAGUAAUGGAAAUAUUUUUGCAAAUUGGGGUCCAAAAAAAAGACUUUUCUAGAGAGGAAGUAAGGGAAAAUAUUUUUGGAUUUUUUGAAAAUUAUGGGCCGGAACCGAUGAGGUUUUCCUACGUAUCUCACAUCCGGUGAGAAUCAGACCCGCGUAGUUCGCCCAUUUUGACGCAACAAGAAAAUAUGACUUAUUUUGAAAUGACCUUUCUUUUUUUCAAAAUUUCGGCAGAGUUUCAGGAUAUUUCAAAUACCUACCUCUCACUCUCUUUUCUUUUUUCUUCUUUCUCCUUUUUUUUGAUUUUAUUUUUUCUCUUUUUUUUCAUUUUCUUUCCCUAUUCUAGAAGCCAGUAAACAUGCAAGCCGAAACAGAUAGAUUCACAAGUAGCACGUAAGAUGCAUCAUGAUGGUCUUUUAAUUUGGGUACACCUGUCCUAGACGGACCCAACCCCUGUGUUGAGUCCCCAAAGUCAAAUGCACAUGAUAAAAACAAACGUUCCUACUAGGAAUCAGGCAUGAGGCUGAGUUAUUCUAAGAUACAAACCUGGGUAUAUUGUUCUAGACUUGUGUACCCGAGCGGACAACUCGAGCCAAGGAGGGGCUACGUACCGGGAACCAAAAGGCCAUCCGGCUUAGUAACUUGUCCGAGCCUCUUUCUUAUUUCAAGGUAUGACACAAACAGAAUAGGGAGUCUCGACCAACGAGCACAUCCCCAAAGAUGAGAAGAGAAGGGUUUCGUAGCAGUUUAUAUACAGUUCAGAUAAUAUCAAAGCGGUAAAAACCUCAUUUAAUACAUUAGGCCCAAGCAUGUAAUAAAAUUAGAUAACAGAUAAAGCAAAAUUCAAUAAUUCAUCUAAGCUCGAAUUCUGAACCCUGAACCAAAGAUUCUGGGUUCUUAUCCCAAGCAGCGUCGCCAGAGCUGUCACACCUCCUUUUUCACACUACACCCCAGGGGGUAUAAGGGAGUUUUUUCCAAUUUAAGUGACAAUCGAAACGGGAUUAUUUUAUUAAAGAUUCAGAGUCGCCACUUGGGAUAAUUUAUGGUGUCCCAAGUCACCGGUUUUAAAUCCUGAGUUGAGGAAAAGAUUGACUCUGUUCAACAGUCCGCGAACCAGAAAUCCUGAGUAAAGAAUUUUGUUAACCCGGGAGAAGGUGUUAGGCAUUCCCGAGUUCCGUGGUUCUAGCACGGUCGCUCAACUGUUAUAUUCAGCUUAAUUAUCUGAUUUUAAUACAUGUUUUAGCCUAUGGUUCAAUUUUAACUUCACCGCUUUUAUUCAUUUUUAAAGAAAAUUGCAACGUUAUUAGAACACGUCUUGAACUACGUCACAUAAAUGCACCCGUGAUUUUGACAUAUUUUAACAUCGUUGAGAUUUGGAUUUGGGUCACAUAAAUGCGCACCCGAAUUUAAUAAUGUAAUAUUAUUAAACUAACACGCCUAAGCUAUUACGAAUAUUCAUUGAGAAACCAUAAUUGUGUCACGCGAACGUGUACAUAAUCACGGUAUUAAAUUCAAAAUGUGCCUAAAGGUUCGCCUACUCGGGUGUGGUCGGCCUAGCAUACGCCUAACGAUUGAAUUAAUAAAGUAAUAACAGAAGCAUUAAAAUAUUUGAAGUCUAAAUUUUUGUCCAUUUAAGUAACACCCUUCCACCCAAGAAAAUUUAAGCAUAAAAAAAAUACAGAAUGAGCAGAUAACGAUGGCAUAUUUUUGGAAGAUUGGUAGUAGACAACGUCAAGUCUAGUUGGGUAACUAAAUCAAAUAUUUUAGCAGCUAGAACUUUAACUAAAUUGGCCUUAGCAUCCAAAUGAAUUUUCUAAUGUGAGAAUACUUAGACAAGAACGAGAACCUUGUCAAUUUUCCAGAUGCAAUAUUGCUACUACUAAAAUUGAUCUAUCUUUAUGUGCUAAUGGAUCCUACGAACCUCAGCAAACUUGAAACCCACUUUUAACAGAAGGAUAUACAUGAACUAAGGAUGAACUAAUCAAAUAGAGGCAAUUUCAAUCUAGAACGAAAAUUAAGGAACAAACAAACCAACAAUCCAUUCAUAAUAUCUAGAGAAACGGGUCUGGAAAUCAAAGAGCAAAUAAAGUUUUAGAAUUGAACCUUUAAAGCUGCAUUGUGUUCUUGGAACAAUGAAUAGAAAAAUAAACUCCAGGCCAAAUCUACGGUUGACGAACUCGACGGACCGGACACCGACGGCCUCGAGCACAGAACUUCAACGGAAUUAAUGGAGGAUUCUGGGAGGUUGUAAUGGCAGCGAUUCGAUCUAUUGUUCUCACGUUUUGGAGCUGGUUUUACAGCUUCAUGGUGGUUUUAAUGGAGGUUUUAAGCUACUGGUUUCUAUACCCAGAACAGAGAAUUUAACGCGACGAAAAUAGAGUUUUGUGGGGAUGGAUCUGCUGAAGGUGAAGGAGAUGGUUGCGGUUCUUCACUUUAUCUGUGUGCCUGAACAUUUUGCUCUCUUUGUUAUUUGUAUCUAUAGCUCUUUUAGGUCUCCAAGUUUUUUGUUUUUUUGAAGAAGAUAGAUCUAAUGGGAGGGGUUGUGAUUUUCGUUGAAGAAGGCAGAACGGUGGGGUGAAGGAGACGACGUUGAACAUCGCUGCGUAGGGGUCUCCUCAGGUCCGAUUCUUUGAGUUUUUCGGC
rnacentral:lncRNA from 1 species